rnacentral:rRNA from 1 species
UACGAAGGGGGGCUAGCGUUGUUCGGAAUUACUGGGCGUAAAGCGCACGUAGGCGGAAUGUUAAGUCAGGGGUGAAAUCCCGGGGCUCAACCCCGGAACUGCCUUUGAUACUGGCAUUCUCGAGUCCGGAAGAGGUGAGUGGAAUUCCGAGUGUAGAGGUGAAAUUCGUAGAUAUUCGGAGGAACACCAGUGGCGAAGGCGGCUCACUGGUCCGGUACUGACGCUGAGGUGCGAAAGCGUGGGGGAGCAAACAGGG